rnacentral:misc_RNA from 1 species
AAAGUCGUAACAAGGUAACCGUAGGUGAACCUGCGGUUGGAUCAUUAAAAAUAUAAUUUGGCUGACGACGUGUCCGUGAAAAGAUUACGUCGUCGCUCGCCAAUCCACACCCUUGUGAACCAUUGAAAUGUCUCUUGGCGAUAAGCGCUUGAAAUCCGCAGAACUUCAUUAUGGGCCUGAAAAUCAGCUUGACCGGGCCUCGAUAACUUGCGGUUGGUUUCUGCUUCGUAAGAAGCGAUCCAGGGUGCUGUCGUCAGUCAAGCGAAGAACCACGCUUUUAUUGAUUACAUUUAUGCUGAGAUAUUUGAUGACUAAAUAAGAAACAACUUUAGACAACGGAUCUCUUGGCUCUC